AUGUUCAGUUUGAAACAUCUCAGACCUGAUGUACUUCUUGCCAUUCAGAGCUGCAAUAUGGGUCCUCUGGCCAGUGAGAGUGGGAUAACUUCUUUCUCCUGGACAUCAACUUCCCUCCAGUGGAAGUCUCUCUGCAUCCAGGAGCCUUACUGUCACCUGGACAAAGAGCUGAUGCUAGACUGUGAUGAAAGAAAAGAUCUAAUUGGUUCUUCUAUUCAGCUGUGCUAUCUAUGGGCUGCUGAAGAAAAUCCGGGCAACAAUAAGUUGAUAAAGGAUAUGCUGCUGAGCCUGGUGCAGGAAUGUUGCCCAGCUUCUGCAGGGAGCCAGCUCCCAGCCAGCAGGGUGAAUCUGUUCCUGCUGAGCACCAGCCUGCUAGCUGAGUCUGACUUCAGCAGUACCUGGGGGUGUUGUACCCCUGGGGUUCCCAGUGCUGAGGCAAGAGGAUGGGAACAGCAUUCGGCAGCAUGUCUGUGCCUAAAAUCCCUUCAAGAGCACCACGUGAUGGGUGCAGAUGCAGGGACCAUGGCUGCAUGAGGAUUUUCUUUUGGCCUGUCAUGGUGGAAGCCAAAAGGGAAGGAAGCUGGGCUUGUGCUCAUUGCAUGACAUAGGAACAGUUGCUGCACAGCUUUGCUGCAGCACCCAGAGCUGCUCAGCAGGUCUGGGGAGAUGCUUCGUCAGGUGCUGUGUCGCUGAGACAGAGCAUGGAAACUUCAGACAAUACCUAUGAAUGUCUGUUUGUUAAAUGGAUGUGUCUGUGUCUGAAUGCUUACCGUAAGCUGUAAGUCAAGCAUGUCAUCAGGAUUUGAGUAAUAAGGAGGAAUAAGGAGGACAUUUGUCUGGACUGUUCCUUAGCAGAUGGAGGACUGAUUCCAGUGAAGUGGGCUUUAAAUAAUGAAACUGAAAGCAAAAAGGGGAGGAGAAAAAAACAUUUAGCAUAAGAGCAAGAAAGUGAACAAACUUAUAUAGUGAAAGAACAUGAAAAGAAAUUAUUUAAUUUCCUGUUCUUCACCAGAGAAGAGGAGUUGAAAUAUUUACAAAUGGGCUGUUUGAACAAGUUAGUAUUAUUGAAACCUGCUGAGAAGACUCACAUAUUUGGAAUGUAAUAAAAAUGGUUAUAUUUCACUAGGCA
rnacentral:lncRNA from 1 species